AGGAAGAGCACAGUGAAAAUAUUUCAGGAGGAGCAGGAUUUGUUGUGGCAAAUGACGAAGUACAUUUUCCUGCAGCAAACCAUGAAUUAAUAAUGUGGAAUCAUGAAAUCCCUUGUUCUGUUCAGCUGCCACCUAUUGCUUCUUCUGAAAUGGUGAACAAAAAUGCUCCCAAGCGAGGAAAAUGUGAUGGAGGCAUGUGAAAGCUCUUGAUGGUUUGGAAAAAGCGUCAUCUUAUGUUUUGUGGAAUA